CUCAGAUCAUGUAAGAUUUUAAUGAUCGAACAGAUCAAAAUUUUAAACUUUUGCAUUUAAAUUUUAUCUUAAUCCAACAUCGAGGUCGCAAACUUUUUUUUUUAUUUGAACUAAAAAAAAAUAUUACGCUGUUAUCCCUAAGGUAAUUUUUUCUUAUAAUCAUUAAUAAUGGAUCAUUUAAUCAUUUAUUUAUGUUUAAUUUUUAAAAAAAGUUCAUUAAAUUUUUCUAUCACCCCAAUAUAAUAAUUAAUUUUAUUUUAAUAAAAAAUUUAAUAUAACUUUAAAAUAAAAAUAAAUAUAAAACUCUAUAGGGUCUUCUCGUCUUUUAAAAUUAUUUUAGCUUUUUAACUAAAAAAUAAAUUUCUAAAAAUAAAUAAGAGACAGUUUAUAUUUCAUCAAAUCUUUCAUACAAGUUUUCAAUUAAAAAACUAUUGAUUAUGCUACCUUUGUACAGUCAUUAUACUGCAGCCCUUUAAUAAUUAUCAGUGGGCAGAUUAGACUUUAAAUUAUAAUCAAAAAGACAUGUUUUUG
rnacentral:rRNA from 2 species